CCUACGGGACGCAGCAGUGAGGAAUAUUGGUCAAUGGACGAGAGUCUGAACCAGCCAAGUAGCGUGAAGGAUGACUGCCCUAUGGGUUGUAAACUUCUUUUAUAUGGGAAUAAAACAGGGUAUACAUACCCUCUUGUAUGUACCAUAUGAAUAAGGAUCGGCUAACUCCGUGCCAGCAGCCGCGGUAAUACGGAGGAUCCGAGCGUUAUCCGGAUUUAUUGGGUUUAAAGGGAGCGUAGGCCGGCUUUUAAGUCAGCUGUGAAAGUCCGCGGCUCAACCGUGGAAUUGCAGUUGAAACUGGAGGC
rnacentral:rRNA from 1 species